rfam:Archaeoglobus veneficus SNP6, complete genome.
GGGCUCGUGGUCUAGUGGUUAUGACGCCGCCCUUACGAGGCGGUGAUCCCCGGUUCGAAUCCGGGCGAGCCCA